rnacentral:tRNA from 7 species
GCUGGUGUGGCUCAAUGGUAGAGCAGCUGAUUUGUAAUCAGCAGGUUGAUGGUUCGAUUCCGUUCACCAGCUCCA